rnacentral:misc_RNA from 1 species
AAAUCUUUUAAACUUUAGAUUUUCUAGACUUUUAAAACUUCUUCGCAAAAUAUUUUUUAAUAAACCUAGAAACUACAAAAUAAGGGAGUUAGAGAUGUUUCUUGAGUGGGGAGCUCGUUUUCUUUUAGCUAUGUUUUAGCUAGAGAAAUAGAAAAGAAAAGAAAAUACCGCGCGGAAUUAUAGAAAAGUCUAUUUCCGAGAUUAUAUUUUCUGACUUGGUCGGUUUUUACAUUACUGCGCCGAUUCGUUCGCUGUCUUAAUUUUAAAAUAGUAAAGGAGUGAAAAAAUGGCAUUCUGUGAAAAAUUAAGAAGAUUUUUUAUCGUGUGCGCGAAUAUCAACCCGACGAUAAACGCGAGUGUUUAUAUUUCAUUAUUAAUAAAUGAAGAAGAAACAAAUUGUAAUCAUCACAUUUGCAAAAUUCGUACCGGAGUGUUCGAAAACCCUAUUGAGCAUUAUGUUCAGAUUAGGGUAUUUCGUGGACAAAAGACUUUUGAAUAUUGUAAAAGAAUAUAUAACCGGUGCAAUAGCUGGUGUGGGGGAGGAUGAUGCUGGCGGACAUAUCGCUUAUUUUACAAGGUGCACCGGAGGAGGUAAAUAUUUAUUUUUAAAGUAAUUGAAAUUAGAAUAUGUAGGUAUAAAAAAUUUUAAUAUUUUUAAAGCGAGAGAUAACAUCGCGAUUGUACAUCCGUACCAACUACAAGGAUUGAGAUGCCCCGCCGAAAACGAGGCGGAAGGAGUAAAUGAGCGACGAGUGCGAAUGCGGAUAGACGUGUAAUCUGAGAAGGGUAUCCCAACGGUUGAUCUAGAUGCGGAAGAAAAUAUCGAUGAUGAGCCGACUCUGAGCGAAGCCGACACCGAAAUUUACACACCGCAUGACAAACGACCUGGAUGAAUCCGAAUAUAGAGAAGAAAAUGAGGGGGAAAACGAAGAAGAACAAAAAGAAGAUGUAGAUGAAGAAGGAGAAGAAGUUGAUGAA